rnacentral:rRNA from 1 species
CACGUAGGGUGCGAGCGUUGUCCGGAAUUAUUGGGCGUAAAGAGCUCGUAGGCGGUGUGUCGCGUCGGCCGUGAAAACCUGCAGCUUAACUGUGGGCGUGCGGUCGAUACGGGCAUCACUGGAGUUCGGCAGGGGAGACUGGAAUUCCUGGUGUAGCGGUGAAAUGCGCAGAUAUCGAGAGGAACACCUGCGGCGAAGGCGGGUGGCUGGGCCGACACUGACGCUGAGGCGCGAAAGCCAGGGGAGCGAACGGG